UUUCCGGGCGAAAGAUCAUUCACUUGGAGUAACAAAACAGGCUCCAGACAAUCCAGAAUAGAUUUUUGGCUUAUAUCCAAAUGUAUUGAUAGUGAGUGUGUUACUACAACUAUUUGUACUACUCCCCUCACAGACCAUAGGGCUAUUUACAUUGAUAUCAAAAUAUUUACCCCUGAUACGAACCUUGGUAGAGCAUCCUACUGGAAGAUAAAUAGCUCAUUAUUAAAUCAUGAUAUAGUUACAUUUGAGGUUAAAGAUCUGCUCUCACACUUUUGGGAAAAGGCUUGUGAAGAAAAAUCUUAUUGCAAGAACUGGGAGCUCUUUAAAUUUGAGGUGUCCAAAUAUCUUAGAAAAUAUGGUAGUAAUCUUGCUAAGACCAGAAGAGCUGAGGAGGAAAAGGUGAUCAUUAAGAUAACUUCCCUUUCUCAGAGGUCCCCAGCUGACCUCUUGGGGGAGGAGAAGAUGGAACUAAUUGAGUUACAAAAUAAACUGGAUAAUAUAUAUAAAUUAAAAGCAGAAGGAGCCUUUAUUAGAUCUAGGAAAAAAUGGAUUGAGGAGGGAGAACAGAAUUCAUCCUAUUUCUUUAGACUUGAGAAAUUUCACUCUAAAAAUAACACUAUCCAUAAGUUAAACAUUGAUGGUGUUAUUACAGAUGACCAAAAAUGUAUCGCUAAAUACUGGAGCCAUUUUUACAGAAAAUUGUAUAGCUCUACGUACUGUCAGGAAUCCACAGAUAUGUUUUUUAACUCACUGAAUAAUGUUCACUCUAUCAGUGAUAUAGAAUCUAAACAGUGUGAUGAACCCAUCAAAGUUGAAGAGAUUAUAGAGUCUAUCAAACAUCUAAAGAACAAUAAAUCACCAGGUGUUGAUGGAAUUACAUCAGAAUUUUACAAAUUAUUUUCUGAACAAGUAGCUCCCUUCCUAUUUGAAGUCUUUUUAGAGAGUAUUAAAAACAAUGUUCUCCCUCCUACAAUGAGUCAGGGGUUAAUAACACUGAUACCUAAGCCUAAAAAAGAAGUGCUGUUCAUCGAUAACUGGCGUCCAAUUUGUCUUCUUAAUAAUGACUAUAAGAUAUUAGCCUCACUACUUGCAAAAAGAAUUAAAGAAGUCCUGGAUGCAAUCAUUGAUGAAACACAGUCUGGCUUCAUGAGGAACAGACAUAUUUCUAACAAUGUCAGACUAGUAUUAGACGUACUUGACUACUCAGACCUAAUAACUGAGGAUAGCUUCAUAUUAUUUUGAGAUUUUUAUAAAGCAUUUGACACAGUAGAGCAUCAGUUUCUCUUCCACUCCCUUGAGAGACUUGGCUUUGGGGAUUUUUCUGUAAGGCUAUUAAGACUCUUUAUGCAAAUGGUAACAGCUCUAUCAAAUUGAAAUAUGGCACCUCACCUAGAUUUGAGUUAAAGAGAGGAAUUAGGCAAGGUUGUCCUAUCUCUCCGUACCUGUUUUUAUUAAUCACCCAACUUCUUGCAAAUUCUUUAAAUAAUAGUCCUGUACAAGGUAUUUCCAUAGCUGGUAAAGAAAUUAUUAUAAGCCAGCUGGCUGACGAUACUACACUUUUUCUGAAAGACGCUAGUCAGAUUCCCAUAUCGAUCAAUGUGAUACUACAAUCCUUUUCCAAAGCGUCUGGUCUAUAUCUUAACAUUAAGAAAUGUGAACUCAUGGCUGUCAAAGAUUGUGUGACACCUUCAUAUUAUGGUAUUCCAGUAAAAGAAGAACUUACAUAUUUAGGCAUAACCAUUACAAAGGAUCAGAAGUCUAGAGGCUUACUACAUUUUAAUCCUCUUAUUAAAAAUACCCAGAGGAAACUAAAUCAAUGGCUACAGAGGGACUUAUCUUUAAAAGGUAGAGUCCUAAUAACCAAGGCUGAAGGUAUCUCUAGACUAACAUAUGGUGCUCUAUCUUUAUAUCUUGACCGUAAAAUAAGCAAGGAGAUAGACCAGAUGCUUUUCAACUUUCUUUGGAGAAACCGUACCCAUUAUAUUAGGAAAACUGUUGUAAUGAACACUUAUGAGAAUGGUGGACUGAAUUUUCUGGAUUUUACUACUUUAAAUAAUACUUUCAAGAUCAAUUGGAUAAAACAAUUCCUAAGAAGACCCACUUCUAUCUGGAAUUUUAUUCCUCAUCAUGUCUUCUCUACUUUUGGUGGCCUUAACUUCAUGUUGUUUUGCAAUUAUAAUAUUGACAAAGUUCCAGUGAAACUUUCUGCUUUUCAUCGGCAGGUUUUCUUGUCAUGGUCCUUAAUUUAUAAACACCAUUUUUCUCCACACAGAUAUUAUAUAUGGAAUAAUGGGGAUAUAUUGUAUAAAAAUACCUCUCUGUUUUUAGAAUAUUGGUUCAGAAAUAAUAUCCUAUUGGUGAGCCAACUGGUAAAUGCAGAGGGUCUUUUACUCAGUUAUAAGGAAUUCUUAUCACUUUACAAGGUCCCUGUAACACCUAAAGAUUUUGCAAUUGUUUUAGAUGCCAUUCCCUCAGGUGUUGCUAUGUUAUUCAGGAACAUGUCAAGACCUGACCCUCAGAGCCUACCUUCUGUUGACCCUGUUGACUCAUCAGUAGGAAAGAUUUGUUUCUCUUUUGGUCCAUUCAACAACAGAGCGAUACGAUCCUUGUUUCAGCAGGAUGUUGUAUCUAUACCUUAUGUCAUGCCUUAUUGGAAUGGAUUUAUUGAUAAUAUCUGUUGGAAAAAAGUUUGGAUGUUGCCACACACAUACCUACUUGUUAAACAAAAUUAAGAAAGUUUCCUUUAAAAUUAUUCAUAAAUAUUAUCCUGCCAACCACUAUAUGAAGAAGUUUAAGGAAAACAUCAACUCCAAUUGCUCCUUUUGUAAUGACCACCCAGAAACAGUUGUGCAUCUUUUUUGGCAUUGUAUGCAUGUAAGAAAAACUGUGGCAAGACAUCAGUAGGUUUAUAAUUGAACACAUUUAUGAAGAUUUUACACUAUUGUGGAGAGAUGUACUGUUUGGAUUCUUUACAUACAAUAGAAAUAAGCGGAAUCAUUUUUAUGUAAUUAAUUUCAUUAUUCUUUUGGCCAAAUUUCAUAUACACAAAUGUAAAUUUACAAACAGAAAACCACAUUUUCGUACCCUACAAAAAUAAAUUGAACUGUAUUUUAAGACGGUUAAAUGCUCUACUAACAAAAAAGUUGUUAGAAUUGUAAGCAUAUGCAUGUCCCUUAAGGUCCUUGUGUAAUUGUAAUGUGAUAUUGUACCUCCUAGCCCCGCCCCCAGCCCCGCCCCUAGCUCGAUUGUCCAUUGUUUGUAAUCUAUGUAUGCUUGUGUUCCCUCAUGUGCUUUAUGUAUUGAUUUGUUGUUAAUAAAAAAUAAAAAAAUAAAAAAAGGAAACGUUCAAGCUGUUCAGACUGCUUCGGUCUAUAUUUACUUCUGUAUUUGGAACAUAAUUCUGUCUUUUAACUAGUUUCCCCAUUUCAUGUCAUAUUUCCGUUUAGUCAGGUAACGGUAGCUGGCUUGAUAAAUGAGCCUAUCACUAGGCUAGUCGCUAACUAGCUAGGUUAGCUGGCUAACAUCCCCGACCAUGAGCUCAGCAAGCUGCUGCCCUCCUGCUAAAAAAAAGAGGUCUGCUGGAAGGAGAAAGAAGGUAUUUGGCUGAACGUUGUCGUGAAAGAGGAGAAUGAAGAGGAGGAUGUCACAGUAAACGAAGAAGUAGAGGGUGAGGCUGUUACACAGAAAGAAGAGGAAGAAAACGAUUAUACUUUUUUUGGAGUGAAUGAAGGAGAGAUAACUGUCAUAUUGAAGGAGGAGGAGAGGGAAGAAGAGGAGGAGACAGAAGAUCUGAGUAACACCAGAGAGAGACCAGACUCUCCUUCUGACAGCAGGAAGAGUCCUUCAGGGAAACCAGACCCCGAGACGUCCAAACCAGCAGGACGACAUCACUGCUCCCAGUUUGGAAAGAGUUUUACUCAGUUAGGGAGCCUGAGAACACAUAAGAGAAUACACACUGGAGAGAAGCCUUACCACUGUACCCAAUGUGGAAUGUCGUUUACCCAGUUAGGGAACCUGAGAACACAUAAGAGAAUACACACUGGAGAGAAGCCUUACCACUGUUCCCAAUGUGGAAUGGCGUUUACCCAGUUAGGGAGCCUGAGAACACAUAAGAGAAUACACACUGGAGAGAAGCCUUACCACUGUUCCCAAUGUGGAAUGACGUUUACCCAGUUAGGGAGCCUGCAAACACAUGAGAGGGGACACACAGGGGAAAAGCUUUUCCAAUGUUCCCAUUGUGGAUAGAGUUUUGGCCAGGUAGGAAACCUGAACAAGCAUGAGAGGACACACACAGGUAAGAAGAUGUACCGCUGCUCCCAGUGUGGAGAGAGAUUUACCCGGUUAAGGUUCCUGAAAGAGCAUGAAGGAAUACAUACAAAUACACAGGAGGAGAAGACAUACCACUGCUCUCAUUGUGGAAAGAUUUUCCCAGUCAGAGAACCUGAAAACACAUGAGAGAAUCGAGAGGCUCUGUUCUGACUUGUGUUUUUGACUGAGAAUGUGUGUGUUUGUUUGGGCUGUCAGACUUGAGUUCACUUUGUGUAAUGUUAGUGCACUAUUUUUAAUUGUGAUUAAUCCAUUGUCUGAAAGGGUUGAAAACACACUGAAAACAUCCAGAAUACAUCCUAUAUACAGCUAGAAUCUACAAUGCCAUGUAAACACAAGAUGACAUUGAGGUUAAAUAAAGUGUGAUUUAUCAAUGGAACAUA